UUCACUGUUCUGGAGAAAGGUGCAGGGACAAUUGAACUCUUUAAAAAGCUAACAACCAUGUGCGAGUCAAGACUCAGUUGAUUCGCUGAGUUAACAGUUCCCGUUCUUACCAAAUAUACCUUCUGGUCGGUCAAGUAUAGUACUCUGGUUAGGUCAUAUAGGUUUCACAGUAUCGGAAAUAAAAGAACAUCGAUUUCUCCCUUUCUUCAUCAUAUAUCUCUUUCAGUUUCUCAUGAGUCUGUCCGUCACGUUUUGAUGUUGGUUGAUUAAGGAGUGUCUAAAGGUUGUGAGUAAUUAGGAUUAUUGGGUUUGUUUACACGUCGAAUUUGCAGGAGAAAAGAUUACAGGGAGAGCUAUAUAUGAAUCAAACAAAAAAAAAAACGGAUUGUUCCAUCACCAGUUUCACGUCUGCUAGGUGUUCGGAAAAAAGUCACAAAAAGAAACAGCAGUUACCGACUCAUGAAUUACCCCAAAAUGAGCUUUAACAAAUGUUUUACAUUCAUGGAUUAGUGUAUAUAAUGCUCAUCGAUCAAUGAAAUAAAGCUAUCACUACAAUGUGAGAGAUGAAGGCUCUCCCAGCAUAUUGACAAGAGAAAUUAAGAUAGUCUAUCUAUAAGUAGCAUGGCGUCUUGUUCGAAUCUUCAGGUGCUGAUUAUGGAUGCAUGAACUUCUCAAGUUUAUGAAUUUUAUGGAUGCUUGUCUUUGGAUUUCAUUUGGUAAAGCAUGUACUCACCAGUCCAAAACUGUUAUGUUUACAUAUACUUUGUCUUCCAUAAUAGGAGUAACUUUGUUCAUCAGUGAUCAGACUAUAAGUGACUUAGUAUGUUUUUUUCUUUCAGGAAUUCUUAAAUAUGUUUGUUAAUUUAGAGUGUCAGGAAACUCAUUUGCUUUUCGUACUUCUCGUUUGGUGUACUUAGCAAUUUACUUGUGCUACCUGGUAAAAAUGCAAAUGACUUAAGAGCUGGUGGUCUAUAAAUUAUUUUGUAUAAUCUAUUCGUCAUGCCAAGGAUUUGUCUUUCAAUGAGAUUUAUGGGGAAAUACCAUAUGUUGUAUCAAAGUUGAAAGAAUUUGAAACAUUCAGGAUUUCGAAAAAUAAUCAGCUCAUUGGAUCGAUCCCUUCGAUUUCCUCACAGAUUCCAAAGUUGAAAAUCUUGAAUAAUGCUAACAACAAUCUCGAAAGUCCACUCCUAGCAAAUCAUAUCUCUUGUACCACUCUCAACAGCCUGAAUCUUUCAUCAAACAGUUAUAAAGGUCUGAUACUUACUGAGCUAUCUUGAAUCUGUAAUUUGGAUACCCUAUAAGUGCAAACCUUUUUUAAAAUUGCCAUAGUGCUACUUUUGAUCUUCGGGUUUAUAACAUGUGUGUUUCUCCGGGUACCUUUCGAACAAAAAGAUAUCUGGUCCUAUACCUUCUUCGAUUGGUGACUUGGAACAUCUCCUUACACUGUUAGUUUUCAUGCUCAGAGCUUAAGUUUCUUCAAGUUACAUUUGUAUUGCUCCAUUUAUCUUUCCUCUUUACACUUCGGUUUUUCAUGAUAGAAAUUUAAGCAAGAACCGUUUAGCUGAAGGGAUUCCGUCAGAGUUUGGAAAUAUAGGAGUGUGCUGGACAUAAAUGUAUCUUACAAUAAUAUCUUUGGAGAUAUCCCCACAGGUGACAACCUCUAAAAGUUUCAUGUUUAUGGGGAGGUUGUGCUUGCCGCUUAAAAAAUAACAAAGAUCAACACAUUAUUUUACUUGGAUGGUCUGCAGAUUAGGAGCAAAAGGAUGCUAUUGUCGUUGAGGUCAUCCGCGGGUUCAAGGGAUUAUAGCUAGGGCUUGUUGCAGCAACAAGUCUCAUGCUUGUGUAUAAUGGUGUUCACAUUGGUUUGCAUCGACUGGAAGUACGGAAGAUUCAAGUGAAGAGAACCUGGAUUUGGCUCAAGAAGAUGACAAUGAAACUAAUAUCCAUUUGAAUAGCAUUUAAACUCUUGAACUGUCCCUGGUACUCUCUUAUUCUUUUGAAUAACAUUGUAAAAGGAUUCGACAAUGUUGGUAUUACUUACGUGGUCUAUCAAACAAAUUUUAGAUACUCGA